GUGUCAUACCACUUGCUAUUGAUGGUGUCUUUGAAACCAUUAAAAAGUGUCCAGAGAAGGAGUUUCUUCUCAGGGUGUCUUACAUGGAAAUAUACAAUGAAACCGUGACUGAUUUGCUAGUAGAUAGCUGGAAAAGAAAACCUCUGGAAGUCCGAGGGAGUUCAAAUAAAACCGUCUAUGUUGCUGACCUGACUGAGGAACUGGUGACCUCCUCUGCGCAAGCACUGGCUUGGAUUCGCAAAGGAGAAA